GCGCACGGUAGCUUCGCGCCA
rnacentral:siRNA from 1 species